UUCAUUUUCCUCCAUGUCUGCAUUUAACGUUCGUCAUGUCAAAAUCAAUACCACAAGAAUUCACAAGCAAUGAGUUUCUUAUCUCUAGAAGUCACAUUCUUCAAUAGACUCCCAGAUUUUGUGUGUAAACUUCUGUGUGGAUACAUACAAUAUUCCAGUCCUUUGCAUGUGUAUCUUCAUUUUUGACUGCCUAUGUAGUGAAGGCAUUCAACAUAAGAGGUACAUUAUGAACAAAGCUUAAUUAGCUAUCUCCCCUGUUUGUUUUCUUGCUU
rnacentral:lncRNA from 1 species